AGAACGAACGCUGGCGGCAGGCUUAACACAUGCAAGUCGAACGCUCAUAGCAAUAUGGGAGUGGCGCACGGGUGAGUAACACGUGGGAACAUGCCUUUCAGUUCGGGAUAACAGUUGGAAACGACUGCUAAUACCGAAUAUUCCCUCCGGGGGAAAGAUUUAUCGCUGAAAGAUUGGCCCGCGUUAGAUUAGGUAGUUGGUGGGGUAAUGGCCUACCAAGCCUACGAUCUAUAGCUGGUCUGAGAGGACGACCAGCCACACUGGAACUGAGACACGGUCCAGACUCCUACGGGAGGCAGCAGUGGGGAAUAUUGGUCAAUGGACGCAAGUCUGAACCAGCCAUGCCGCGUGAAGGAUUAAGGCCCUCUGGGUUGUAAACUUCUUUUAUCUGGGAAGAAUGUUUCGAUUCUUCGGAACUUGGCGGUACCAGAGGAAUAGCACCGGCUAACUACGUGCCAGCAGCCGC
rnacentral:rRNA from 1 species